CACGUAGGGCGCAAGCGUUGUCCGGAAUUAUUGGGCGUAAAGAGCUCGUAGGCGGUUUGUCGCGUCUGCUGUGAAAACUCGGGGCUCAACUCCGAGCUUGCAGUGGGUACGGGCAGACUAGAGUGCGGUAGGGGAGACUGGAAUUCCUGGUGUAGCGGUGGAAUGCGCAGAUAUCAGGAGGAACACCGGUGGCGAAGGCGGGUCUCUGGGCCGUAACUGACGCUGAGGAGCGAAAGCAUGGGGAGCGAACAGG
rnacentral:rRNA from 1 species